UCUCACUCUACCAUCAACACAAAUAUAUUAACGCCAUUCUCCUUUUACAGCUCCAUUCUGAUUUUUAUCCUUUCUAUCCUUUCUCUAUUGAUCAAGGCCGGGGCUUAGUUGGGUGUGGAUAGGUUCAGGGAUGCUUGUUGUAGCUACAACUUUGCUGGAUACGGAUUUAAAUUGUUGAAAUAAGAGGCUUUAUUCGAAAUAUGAGCUUUAUUCUUGAUGAUAGAGAAACGGAAAGUGAUGAUUUGUCGAGUUCUAAGACUUCUCAGGUUAAGUUAGGGUUGCAAAAGGGUUUGUUUCAGAAUUCGUUAAAACCUAGGGCUAAGAAGAUGGAAGGGGAACAGAAGAAGUCUGGGGCUAAGGUUAGAUCGAAGCCUAUUGAGACUGGUUUUGAUUCUGAUGAUAAUGAGCCCAUUAGGUCUUUAUUCAAGUUGAAGAGACCUAGAAAUCCCAAAAAGGUUAAGAUGGUUUUGGACAAGGCUAGAGAAGAAAAAUUGGUGGCUGAGGAUGAUGAUUUUGGUGGCAUGGAUGAUACACUAGCCAGUUUUAGGAAGAGGUUGAAGGGUCCUAAGAAAGAUAUUGGAUCUGUUAUUGUGAGGCCUUUGGAGGAUAAUGUGGUUAAAGGUUGCAGUGAAAGUGUUGAUGUGCUGGGCUCAUCUACGAAUAAAGGAGUAGUUGAACACAAACAUAAGGAAAAGGUGAAGAAAACAAAAAUUGAAUCUAAAAUAGGGAGAACUAGGGGUGAUGCUGAAGUUUAUGAUACUUUAGAAACUUUUGGAUCUCAGGUGGAAGAUCAAAAGGAGGAAGGUUCACAGCCUACUGAGGGUUCAAGUCAUUCUUUGGAUGAGAAGUUGGGAGACUCAUUAUCAUGUAUUUUUUAUAAGGCGCAAGCUGGUCCAAUACGGAAGUCUCACAUGAAUUCAUGUUCAAAACAAAAUAGUAGGGUUCGGAGUUUGGAGGAUGGGUUGAGCCCUUCCUCUGAAUGUGUUUCAGAGUUUUCCAUGUCCAUGGCUGCAAGGAUACCUAGAACUGCUUCUGCCUCAAAUGUAGUCCGCAAAGAUCUGAAAGCUGAAGAUGGUUGCACUAUAGUUACCGGUUUGAGUCCGUCAGAGGCUGUCUCUGAACACAGUAAGAUAGUGAAAAACAAAAGGCUUGAUAAUGGUUUUUGUCAAUCUUCUAAUUGUAUGCAAGAGAAUUCUGAUGAAAAUACAAAGUCCAAUGUCAAAAGACGUGCUAGAUCUGUAGAAAUUAUGUCCCCGCCUGCAUCAUUUCACUGUUGUGGGAUUCAAGAUGAAAGAAUGCUAGAUUCUGGUGUCUCAAAUGUUAAAGAAGAACUUAUGGUGGAUCCUUGUACUUCAAAUGGACUUCGUGAUCAAAAGUUUUCUGUUUCUGGUCAAGCGGAUAGUUUGGACACUCAGUCUUUGAAGAAUGGUUUAAGGCUUUGUUCUAUUGGAAAGGCAAACACUUUGGUCCAUGAUGUUGUGAAAGUGCCUACUUCUGCAUCAGUGCAGUUUGAAGACAUUGAUGGGUUCUGUGAUCAGAAGUCCAACAAAGUUUUAAGGGAUGCAUGGGACCAUCAAUCUAAGAAUGUUUCAACUCCACGCAUUUCAAAGGCAGAAAACCAAAUUUCAUUUUCUUCAAGUAGAAAAGAAAUAUUACAACCUUCUAUGGUUGAUGAGAUACCAAACAAGUUGUGUAGAUGUUCAUCUGACAGGAUUCACAAACCAGCUUAUGAAGGAAUUUUGGGUGGUUCUCUGAAUAAUUUAUCUGCUAACUCUUCUCAACACUAUGCGAGGAUGGAAAAAGCUGCUAAAACUGAAACUGCUCUUGAUUUUGAUCAAUGCCCAAAAGCUUCCCUGCAUGUUCAACCCCACUUGGCUGACUCUACUUUUGCUUCACCAAAGAUUGAAGAAACUUGUGGUGAUUGUGAUGUUCCUAAUGGUUAUGGUGAUAAGUCAUAUCUUGCUUCAGUUUCUCCCAAAAGGAAAAAUGCUGCAACAUCUGAUGGCAAGUUAUGUUUGAACAAUGCAAUGUCUGAUGAAGUCGAUAAAGAUGCAUGUAACUACCAGAUGAACCACCGAGGGAACUCAGAAACUUUUGUUCAUCCAAGUGAGUCCUCCAUCUCCAUUCAAAAGCACAGCCCUGUUUUGCAUCAAAGUCUACAUUCAGAGGAUGCAACAAAAGGGAACUGUGUUCCAAGUCAUGAUUAUCUUUCCAUCAAUGAGGAGACCAAUGGAGCCUCUUCUAUGUCUAUUACUCCAGAGGAAAAUGAAAGUUGCCCAGAAGAUGCAGUAUCCAUUCCUGACUCUGAAAUCAAAGAUGGGAAGUUAUCAUCUGUUCAGCGUGGUGCACGGAAGGCCAAAAAGCGUAGACUUGGGGACAUGGCUUAUGAAGGGGAUCCUGAUUGGGAAAUCUUGACAAAUGAUCAACGUUAUCAGGAAAGUGACCAGUUUGUGGACAGUGAUAAAUCUUUUAGAAUGAGAGAGAAGUCUGAGUCCUCUUCAAUUAGUGUUACAGAGGCUGAAAAUGGUGGGGCAGCAGCAGUUUCAGUUGGAUUGAAAGCCCAUGCUGCUGGUCCAGUUGAGAAGAUAAAAUUUAAGGAGGUCUUAAAACGCAAAGGUGGGCUUCAAGAAUAUUUGGAAUGCAGGAAUCAGAUCUUGGGUCUUUGGAGUAAAGAUGUUAGCCGUAUUUUGCCUCUUGCUGACUGUGGUGUCACAGAUACUCCUUCUGAGGAGGAAUCAUCACACGCUUCUCUAAUUAGGGAAAUCUAUGCAUUUCUUGAUCAGAGUGGCUAUAUAAAUAUUGGAAUUGCUUCCAAGAAGGAGAAAGCAGAGCAUAGUGUGAACCAUAAUUAUAAACUUGUUGAAGAAAAAAAUUUUGAGGUAAAUUCCGGGGCAUCAAUUGCUGAUUUGGAGGAUGGCGUCUCAUAUAUCCUUGGUCAAUUUAAAUGUUCCGAAACUUCCUUGGAGGCAAAUAAUAGAGUUACAGAUGAUAAUGAAAAACCUGUGUCAAAAGCUACGAUAAGCUGGGAGCUUGUUACUCCAACCAAAGUGGAAGUAUCCAAUGCAACAGAAUGUCGAGAUUGCCCAAUUGGUGAUAUUCAGCAAACUGGUGCUAUCAAUGCGAAAUUAGCCAAUGGAUUUGUCAACUUGGAUGAUGUGAGUGGUGAUCCAUUUUGUGCAAUGCUGGAUAACAGGAUAGAUGUCGCAAAUCCAGAGUUAAGGAAUGACUUGCAGAGUGUUCAAUCUUCCUCCGGUGAUGAUACUGGGGGAAGUCAUAAUUUUCAGUGUGAUUCUGAAGACAGAAAGAAAAUCAUUGUGGUAGGAGCCGGUCCUGCUGGCUUAACUGCUGCCCGCCACUUGCAACGACAGGGUUUUUCUGUGACUGUGGUUGAGGCUAGGAAUAGGAUAGGGGGCCGUGUUUAUACAGAUCGCUCAUCUCUUUCAGUUCCUGUAGAUCUUGGAGCUAGCAUUAUCACUGGUGUUGAGGCUGAUGUGGCCACUGAAAGAAGACCGGACCCUUCCUCGUUGAUUUGUGCCCAGUUGGGCCUUGAGUUGACAGUCCUGAAUAGUGAUUGCCCUCUUUAUGAUAUUGUGACCAGAGAAAAAGUUCCAACAGAUCUGGAUGAGGCAUUGGAAGCAGAGUACAACAGCCUUCUUGAUGACAUGGUAUUACUUAUUGCACAGAAGGGGGAACAUGCAAUGAAAAUGUCUCUUGAGGAUGGUUUAGAAUAUGCCCUUAAGAGUCGGCGUCUGGCACAACCAGGAUCAGAUAUUGAUGAAACCAAAUUGCAAAAUGCUGUAGACAAUUUAUGUGUUUCAAAAACUUGUAGUUUUGAUGGUGGAGUUCCUGAAAAAAGUUGUUCUAAAGAGGAGAUUUUGACUCCGCUUGAGAGGAGAGUCAUGGAUUGGCAUUUUGCCCAUUUGGAGUAUGGUUGUGCUGCUUUAUUGAAGGAAUUAUCUCUUCCCUACUGGAAUCAAGAUGAUGUUUAUGGAGGUUUCGGAGGAGCUCAUUGUAUGAUUAAAGGGGGUUACGGUAAUGUUGUUGAGUCUCUUAGUGAAGGUCUAUGCAUUCACUUGAAUCAUGUAGUCACAGAUAUUACAUAUAGCACCAAGGAAACUGGAUUAAGUGAAAAUCAGCAUCACAAAGUUAAGGUUUCCACAUCUAAUGGUAGUGAAUUUUUUGGAGAUGCUGUUUUGAUCACAGUGCCACUUGGUUGUUUGAAAGCAGGAACCAUAGAAUUUAACCCUCCCUUGCCCCAGUGGAAACUUUCUUCCAUCCAGCGACUUGGUUUUGGAGUUCUUAAUAAAGUAGUGUUGGAAUUUCCAGAGGUGUUUUGGGAUGAUUCUGUGGAUUACUUUGGAGCUACGGCUGAGGAAAUUGAUCGAAGGGGCCAUUGCUUUAUGUUUUGGAAUGUCAGGAAAACUGUUGGGGCUCCUGUUCUUAUAGCCUUAGUGGUUGGUAAAGCAGCUGUAGAUGGUCAAAGGAUAAGCUCAUCAGAUCAUGUAAGCCAUGCAUUAAUGGUUCUUCGUAAGCUUUUUGGGGAGGCUGUAGUACCUGAUCCAGUUGCAUCAGUAGUGACUGAUUGGGGUAGGGAUCCAUUCAGCUAUGGUGCUUACUCCUAUGUUGCCAUUGGAUCAUCUGGGGAAGACUACGAUAUAUUGGGCAGGCCUAUUGAGAACUGUUUAUUUUUUGCUGGUGAAGCUACCUGCAAGGAGCAUCCUGACACUGUUGGUGGUGCUAUGAUGAGUGGGCUCCGGGAGGCAGUGCGUAUAAUUGACAUUCUAAAUACUGGAAAUGAUUACACAGCAGAAGUAGAGGCAAUGGAAGCUUCACAGAGACACUCAGAAUGUGAAAGGGAUGAAGUUAGGGACAUAACAAAGAGACUUGAGGCUGUUGAACUUUCCAAUGUCCUCUACAAGAAUUCUUUGGAUGGAGCCCAGAUUUUAACCAGGGAAGCAUUACUGCGAGAUAUGUUCUUUAGUGCAAAAACUACUGCAGGACGAUUGCAUCUGGCCAAGAAAUUGUUGAAUCUUCCUGUUGAGACUUUGAAGUCCUUUGCUGGGACCAGAAAAGGGCUUACCACACUUAAUUCAUGGAUUCUGGAUUCAAUGGGGAAGGAUGGAACUCAACUCUUGCGUCACUGUGUUCGUCUUCUUGUACUUGUUUCUACUGAUUUACUUGCAGUGCGUUUGUCAGGCAUAGGGAAAACUGUGAAAGAAAAAGUAUGUGUGCAUACCAGCCGUGAUAUACGUGCCAUAGCAAGUCAGUUGGUUAGCGUGUGGCUUGAAGUCUUCCGCAGAGAAAAAGCUUCAAACGGUGGGCUAAAGCCAUUGAGGCAGGCAACUGCGGUAGAUUCUUCAAAGAGAAAAUUUGUUCACAAUCCAGCCUCAGGGAAGCCGCCCCUGCAUGCUUAUUGUGGUGGUUUGGAGACUAGAGGUAGCUUAGAAUUUCCUCAAUCCAGUGGAAGCCAUUUACCUUCUAAUGCAAAUAUGAAGAAAGUAAAUGGAAAGCUGUUCAAGGCAGAAACCUUAAAGGAAUCAACAUCCCAUGCUUCCCUAGGCACACAGGAUGCUGAGGUGGAGGAGGAAAGCCACUAUGUUAUGUCCAAAGAAGAAAUGGCUGCUUUAGCUGCAGCCGAGGCAGCCCAUGCUGCUGCUCGUGCAGCUGCUGAGGCAUAUGCUUCAGCACAAGCCAAGAGCAACAUGGUGUUGCAGCUUCCAAAGAUACCCUCAUUUCACAAAUUUGCAAGACGGGAACAGUAUGCACAAAUGGAUGACUUUGAUCUUAGAAGAAACUGGUCUGGUGCUAUCCUGGGAAAACAAGAUUGUGUAUCAGAAAUAGACUCAAGGAACUGUAGAGUCAGGGACUGGUCUGUUGAUUUCUCUGCUACUUGUGUUAAUCUUAAUAGUUCAAGGACAUCGGUUGAUAACUUAUCUCAGCGGAGCCAUUCAAAUGAGAUUGCAUGCCAUAUGAAUUUCAGAGAGCAGUCUGGAGAAACAGCAGCUGUGGACAGCAGUCUUUUUACUAGAGCAUGGGUUGAUACUGUUGGUAAUGAGGGGAUAAAGGACCAUCAUGCCAUUGAGAGAUGGCAAUCUCAAGCAGCUGCUGCUGAUUCAGACUUUUUUCAUCCAGCUUUGCGUGUAAAUGAUGCAGAGGAUUCAAACACAAGUUCAAAACCAACCUGGAAGAAUGAUGGACGAGCAAAUGAUGGCUCAAUCUCACAGGUUUCAUUAAACAAGGAACCACAAAAAAAUCGUCUCCGAGGUGCAGAUCGUAUUAAACAGGCUGUUGUGGAUUUUGUUGCGUCACUGUUGAUGCCUGUUUAUAAGGCACGGAAAAUUGACAGAGAAGGAUACAAAUCAAUAAUGAAGAAAACUGCAACUAAGGUCAUGGAGCAGGCCACUGAUACAGAAAAAGCAAUGGCUGUUUCUCAGUUUCUUGAUUUCAAACGCAAGAAUAAGAUUCGUGCCUUUGUGGACAAACUGAUUGAGAGGCACAUGGCAAUGAAGCCUGCUGUGAAACCUUGAUAGUCCUCAAGAUUGACUAGUUUGUGUUUUUGGAUGCACCUCUACAACAAUUACAGAAGUGUUUUACAUUUUGGUCACACAUAAAUCCACAGCAUAAGAUAGUGGUGGCAGUACUCCUGGAUUGGGUUCCCCAGUGUAAAUAUUUAAUUCAAACUGCCAAUAUGCUGCUAAAGAUCCAGAACGUGCCAAGGAAGAAAGGAGAUGAUUCUAAGCCUGUUGGAUCAUGGAGAAGCUCUAGUGAAGAUCAUUCGAUGUUUGGCUUACUGAAGCAAAUAUUUGGCAUCCUUGAAAAUAUGAUCAGAAUUGUUCUUUGUGUCUGGAGGCCAAAGGAACACAAGAAAAGUGUUGUAGUUACACUCUUGAGCCAUUGUACUUGGAAGGGUGGAGAGUUAAUACCCCCCCUUUUUUUUUUUUAAUUUCAGGAAACCCCAUAGACAAGACACUACUUGUUUCUGACCUUUUUUUCGGGUUUUCUUUUUAUUUGUACAGCCUAGGAUUGUUUCAUGGUGACAAGAUACAGACCAUUUUUCUCUUCCCCCCACAAAGUACUAAAAGUACUGUCAUGAUUUUUCAAGUGAACAUCAAUUACUAACCUUCUUUUUCCAUUCUGCAAAGUUCAAUUCAAGGAACCUUUUGGGCUUCAUGGAAAUUUGGUCUCUCUUCUCUCUCUGUGUUUGUGUGCAUUUGCUUGCAUGUUAUCUAUGUUAGGAGAUUAACCUUUAUUCUUUGCAUCCUUAUUUAAUAGACAGAUAAUACAACGCAUCUAUGUUAUUUGAUGUAUGACAUUUGGAUUUACAUGCUAAGGUCUUUAUUUCAUGAAUAAUAGGUCUAAAAAAUUUGACUUGGAAUUUGAGGAAUUUAAUUGUUUGAGUUGCUAUGAAUGUUACACAACCAUAGACUUUGUAACAUUUUACAAGCCAGGUAAAAAAAUCUACUUAUUAACUUCUGGCAUUUAUCUUUAUGCUUACACCUCUUUCUGUUUGUGUCAGGUUGGAAAAAUGUUGUAGAUGACAUUUCAAUGAGGUAUGCCUGUUGCUAAAUUUUUUUCCCCUCUUCCAGCAAGUUGAUUACAGUUUGCAGAAUUCAAUUUAUUUUGAUUCAAAUUUAACUUGGUAACUUAAUUUGGUGCAUCAUGGCUAGUUUUGUUUUAUCGUAUAGCAAGGGAUUGAAGACGAGCUUAGUCUUUAUGGUUCAGAUGACUUUUGUUUUAUGCAAGCAAUGAUGAAGGAAACCAUGCUUCCUGGUAGUGGGCGGAACAUUGGCUUCCUGCACUUCUUGUUUGUGGUUGCAGAUUGUUGUCCGGGAAUCUUGUUUGCCUUUUGUCCUCUGAUAGUAUCUGAUGAAAUCUGAUAUUGAGAUGGAAAAAGAGAAUGUUAACUUGCAUGAUGUGAUUAUCAAGCAAUGGCAUGGCAUACCAAAAUUUCACUAUUGCAUUCUAUUCAUUGUACUGAAAGUUUUCAUUUCACUCACUUCAUUGUAUGCUAAUUGCCAAGUCGGUCCUUCUCACGUCAUGACCUCCAGUUUUCUCCUUUUCAAACUGAUGAUAAUGUUAUGACAGCUAGAAUACGGCAUGGAAUCUUAUAUAUACUUUGAAACAGUGGAAUUAUUGUCAAAUUUGUUGCUUUGUUUAUUCUUUUCUUUUAAAACUAGAUAAAUGGCG
rnacentral:misc_RNA from 1 species